AAUAACCCACUCAUAAAUAUCACAACAUAGCCAAGAAUGGAAGACGAGGCAGAGAUAUACGACGGAAUCAGAGCUCAGUUCCCGCUCGCGUUUGGCAAACAAUCAAAACCCCAAACCUCUCUCGAAAAAGUCCACGACGCCACUCGCCGAUCGGAACAACCGCCUUCCACCACCACCACCAGCACAGCUGCCUCCAAGACUAAUGACCUACCGUCUCUCUCAUCCUCCCCCAGAGCUUGGCUUGACUCUCUCCGAAAACCUAAAGCUUCGGAGGCGCCAAAAGUUGGGCCCCCACCGCCUCCUGAGCCGCCGAAAGCGGAGGAAGAUGACGAUGACGUGAUGAUUGGGCCCCCACGGCCUCCUCAGCCUGUGGAAACGGAGGAUGAUGAUGGAGUUGUGAUGAUUGGGCCACCGCGGCCUCCCGUGGCAUCGGAGACGGACGAUGAAGAGGAGGAGGAAGAGGAAGGGGAGAAUCGGUAUCGGAUUCCGAUGAGUAACGAGAUUGUACUGAAGGGUCAUACUAAGGUUGUUUCAGCUCUUGCAGUUGAUCACUCUGGGUCUAGAGUUCUCUCCGGUAGUUAUGACUAUACGGUGCGAAUGUAUGACUUUCAAGGAAUGAAUUCCCGUUUACAAUCCUUUAGGCAACUUGAGCCAUUUGAAGGUCAUCAAGUUCGUAACUUAAGCUGGAGUCCUACGUCGGACCGUUUCCUCUGUGUAACUGGCUCUGCUCAAGCUAAGAUUUAUGACCGAGAUGGGCUCACCCUAGGUGAGUUUGUGAAGGGUGAUAUGUAUAUUCGUGAUCUGAAAAACACCAAGGGACACAUUUGCGGAUUAACGUCUGGAGAGUGGCAUCCUAAAAAUAAAGAGACGAUUUUGACGUCAUCCGAGGAUGGAUCUCUUCGUCUAUGGGAUGUGAAUGAUUUCAAAAGUCAGAAGCAGGUUAUCAAACCAAAGCUUUCAAGGCCUGGAAGAGUUCCGGUUACCACAUGUGCUUGGAACCGUGAAGGAAAAUGCAUUGCAGGUGGUGUUGGAGAUGGUUCUAUACAGCUAUGGAACCUUAAGCCUGGAUGGGGAAGCAGGCCAGAUAUAUAUGUUGAGAAAGCCCAUUCUGAUGAUAUAACUGGGCUUAAGUUUUCUAGUGAUGGGCGAAUUCUGCUGUCCAGAAGCUUUGAUGGUUCAUUGAAGGUUUGGGAUUUGCGCCAAAUGAAAAAGCCUUUGAAGGUGUUUGAGGAUCUUCCGAAUCACUAUGCCCAAACAAAUAUUGCAUUUAGUCCUGACGAACAACUUAUAUUGACUGGUACAUCUGUUGAAAGGGAGAGCACAACUGGAGGAUUGCUAUGUUUCUUUGAUCGAGCAAAACUUGAACUUGUUUCAAGAGUUGGAAUAUCACCGACUUGUAGUGUAGUGCAAUGUAUUUGGCACCCAAAGCUGAAUCAGGUCUUUGCAACAGCUGGAGAUAAGAGCCAAGGAGGAACUCACAUAUUAUAUGACCCCACCCUCAGUGAGCGAGGAGCUCUUGUCUGUGUUGCACGAGCACCAAGGAAAAAAUCUGUUGAUGAUUUUGAGAUACAACCUGUGAUUCACAAUCCACAUGCAUUGCCCUUAUUCAGAGAUCAGCCAAGUCGUAAGCGUCAGCGAGAGAAAACAUUGAAGGACCCUAUUAAGUCCCAUAAGCCUGAGCUUCCCAUUACAGGACCUGGUUAUGGUGGAAGAGUUGGUGCAAGUAAGGGAAGCUUAUUGACCCAGUACCUUAUGAAGCAAGGGGGAAUGAUCAAGGAGACAUGGAUGGAGGAGGAUCCUAGAGAAGCUAUACUAAAGUAUGCUGAUGCUGCAGCGAAAGAACCUAAAUUCAUUGCUCCAGCAUAUGCAGCAACCCAGCCUGAAACAGUUUUUGCAAAGUCUGAUUCUGAGGACGAAGAGAAAUGAUCCCAUUGUGCUGGUUUUAAGUAUAUGCUACCUUAAAAUCACCUCGAGUUUAAUUUGAGCACCCAAGGAAUACAUUGAACUAAGCGUGGUUAUGCUGAAGUAAUGAGGAAGCUUGCAUAGGAUUGCUCUUAGUGGGUGCCAUUUGCAGUCGGAAUAUCUGUGCAUCUAAAGCCAUAAACAAUUUCAACUUCUCCUUGUCCAAGAUUUUAUUGUUCUAUUUAGUAGUGAAUUGAUGUUCGAUAAUAUAUUGUAUAAUGUCUGAGAUUAGAUAUUGUAAGAAAUUGCGUUCAGGUUUGAAACCCCAAUUAAUGGGAUCAUAGGUUGUCUGAAAACUAAACAGUGGGUUUCAAUGCAUUUUCAUUUACAACACUUGAUGUUAAAUUCAAGCUAAAACGGUU